UAGGGAAGAGAAGGAUGCCUAAAGGAGACUUGAUUUUCUUGGAUUUGCUGCAAUUCCUUAAACCAAACCAGUCUUUCCGGGCGUUAAAGUAAAUUACAGGUGGCAGUGCAGAAGCCAAAAUGGGAGCUUCUAGAAGUGGUUUCUGAAAAAUAAGACCGCAUAUACACGAGUAAGCAAGCACAGGAAUCUGACAAAACCACAGGUCAAGAUACAGAACAUUUCAAGCGCCCCAGAAGAUUUCCUCCUUUUUACACUGCUGGUCAGUUUUCAUCCCACUUCCAACCUGAAGUAACCAUUCUAAUGGGUGUGAGGUGAUCCUUAUGGUUUUAAUUUGUUUUCUGGCUGUGGAUGGAAUGUCUUGCAAAUGGAGUUGACUUCAUGUUAGAAUUACCUGCAAACUCCACAAACAAUGGAGAAACUGAGUCCUGAAAGGUUGCAACAUCCUUGAAGAACUAAAGUAGCAUAUGGCUUAUUCAGGAGGUAAAGAUGAGAACAGCUUCUACUUAGUUGGUGCCCUGUUGAAGAGAAAUGCUUUUGCUCAGCUUGGAAUGAAAUGCAGAUAACCCUUUAGAAAGCUUUUGUAGGAAAGCACCUCGUGUGAUCUGGAACAAAGACAUUAUAUAAUCAGAUUUAUCAAGCUGUGAAGAGGGAGUUUUAGCGAACAGAAGCAGCAUUCUGUCACCAGGAAAUACUGCUUUAUCCAGAAUUGCUUUCAAAGACAUAGACAAAGAGCAAGAUAAGCAUGGCCUUUAGGGGCAGGUCCUCCAAUAAAUCAGAUCGAUGAUGCAAGUGUGAAUAUUACAAUUAUUUGACUUAAUUAAGGUGUGGCUGAAGAUGUGGAAAAAGUCUACUCAUUUCCUUGAAGCACAUGAAUUUAUGGGUUUUAGAGUCUUGAAGACAGAAAAAUGGUGAUGAAGAAUUAAGAUAUUGACAGGUAAUUUACAUCCAACUCCUAGUUGUAUGCAGUGAUUCACAAGUAUUUUCAGCUCUAUUUCAUGUAAUUACUUGGGCAAAAUAUGAUGAUUUAACAAUCAAGCUAAAGACUGCCAUGCUUAAUGGGAAAAAAGCCUCUAUAUAAUUUGUAGAUUUGACUCAUCCAUUUAGAAUCCAUUGUCGUGAAUGAAAAAACAAAAACAAAAAACGAUAGAAGCAGGCUGAAACAGUAAAUGCUGGAAAGUAUUUUCCAGAAUAAUUCUUUUAGAUCUUCAUGAUUUCAGUUCUGUUUGCUGUGCUGUUAUUUACAAAAAUAUAUGAAAAAUAAAUAACAUAGCAUGUCCUGAAUU